GAUGAACGCUGGCGGCGUGCCUAACACAUGCAAGUCGAACGGUAACACUUCGGGUGACGAGUGGCGGACGGCUGAGUAACACGUGGGAACGUGCCCCAAAGUGAGGGAUAAGCACCGGAAACGGUGUCUAAUACCGCAUAUGAUCUUCGGAUUAAAGCUUUAUGCGCUUUGGGAGCGGCCCGCGUCGGAUUAGGUUGUUGGUGAGGUAAUGGCUCACCAAGCCGACGAUCCGUAGCUGGUCUGAGAGGAUGAUCAGCCAGACUGGAACUGAGACACGGUCCAGACUCCUACGGGAGGCAGCAGUGAGGAAUCUUCCACAAUGGGGGCAACCCUGAUGGAGCAACGCCGCGUGCAGGACGAAGGCCUCCGGGUUGUAAACUGCUUUUAUAAGUGAGGAAUAUGACGGUAACUUAUGAAUAAGGAUCGGCUAACUACGUGCCAGCAGCCGCGGUCAUACGUAGGAUCCGAGCGUUAUCCGGAGUGACUGGGCGUAAAGAGUUGCGUAGGCGGUCUGUAAAGCGAAUAGUGAAAUAUGAUGGCUCAACCAUCAGCCCAUUAUUCGAACUCACAGACUCGAGAGUGGUAGAGGCAGCUGGAAUUUCUUGUGUAGGAGUGAAAUCCGUAGAUAUAAGAAGGAACACCAAUGGCGUAGGCAGGCUACUGGACCAUUUCUGACGCUAAGGCACGAAAGCGUGGGGAGCGAACCGGAUUAGAUACCCGGGUAGUCCACGCCGUAAACGAUGGAUACUAGCUGUAGGAGGUAUCGACCCCCUCUGUAGCGAAGCUAACGCGUUAAGUAUCCCGCCUGUGGAGUACGGCCGCAAGGCUAAAACAUAAAGGAAUUGACGGGGACCCGCACAAGCGGUGGAUCGUGUUCUUUAAUUCGAUGCUAAACGGAGAACCUUACCAGGGCUUGACAUCCAGGGAAUUUCUACGAAAGUAGUUAGUGCCUUUUGGAACCCUGUGACAGGUGUUGCAUGGCCGUCGUCAGCUCGUGUCGUGAGAUGUUUGGUUAAGUCCAUCAACGAGCGCAACCCUUAUACUUAGUUGGAUUUUUCUAGGUAGACUGCCCCGGUAACGGGGAGGAAGGAGGGGAUGAUGUCAGGUCAGUAUUACCUUUACGUCCUGGGCUAGAAACACGAUACAAUGGCUAGUACAAUGCGCAGCGAAGCCGCGAGGUGGAGCAAAUCGCAUCAAAGCUAGUCCCAGUUCGGAUUGGAGGCUGAAACUCGCCUCCAUGAAGUCGGAAUCGCUAGUAAUCGCAAAUCAGCAAGUUGCGGUGAAUACGUUCCCGGGUCU
rnacentral:rRNA from 1 species